UGGAGAAUAUUGCACAAUGGGCGCAAGCCUGAUGCAGCCAUGCCGCGUGUGUGAAGAAGGCCUUCGGGUUGUAAAGCACUUUCAGCGAGGAGGAAGGUGGUGAGCUUAAUACGCUCAUCAAUUGACGUUACUCGCAGAAGAAGCACCGGCUAACUCCGUGCCAGCAGCCGCGGUAAUACGGAGGGUGCAAGCGUUAAUCGGAAUUACUGGGCGUAAAGCGCACGCAGGCGGUUUGUUAAGUCAGAUGUGAAAUCCCCCGGGCUCAACCUGGGAACUGCAUUUGAAACUGGCAAGCUAGAGUCUCGUAGAGGGGGGUAGAAUUCCAGGUGUAGCGGUGAAAUGCGUAGAGAUCUGGAGGAAUACCGGUGGCGAAGGCGGCCCCCUGGACGAAGACUGACGCUCAGGUGCGAAAGCGUGGGGCAGCAAACAGGAUUAGAUACCCUGGUAGUCCACGCUGUAAAACGAUGUCGAUUUUGGAGGUUGUGCCCUUGAGGCGUGGCUUCCGGAGCUAACGCGUUAAAUCGACCGCCUGGGGAGUACGGCCGCAAGGUUAAAACUUAAAUGAAUUGACGGGGUCAUAGCUG
rnacentral:rRNA from 1 species